rnacentral:rRNA from 1 species
GACGAACGCUGGCGGCGUGCCUAAUACAUGCAAGUAGAGCGCAGUUGCGGACGGGUGAGUAACGCGUAGGUAACUGCCUCAUAGCGGGGGAUAACUAUUGCAAACGUUACCUAAUACCGCAUACUGUGAGAUGUGCCUGUGUUGUAUUAGCUAGUUGGUGAGGUAAAGGCCCACCAAGGCUACGAUACAUAACCGGCCUGAGAGGGAGGUCGGCCAAAACUGGACUGGGAAACGGCCCCGAAUCCUACGGGGAGGAGCAGUAGGGAAAUAUUGGCAAUGGACGGAAGUCUGAACGAGCAAAGCCGCGUGAUUGAAGAAGGUUUUCGGAUCGUAAAGCUACGUUGUUAGAGAAGCGGUAACUAAAGAGAAAGGGCCGGCUAACUACGUGCCAGCAGCCGCGGUAAUAC